rnacentral:rRNA from 1 species
GACGAACGCUGGCGGCGUGCUUAACACAUGCAAGUCGAACGGAAAGGCCCUGCUUUUGUGGGGUGCUCGAGUGGCGAACGGGUGAGUAACGCGUGAGUAACCUGCCCUUGACUUUGGGAUAACUUCAGGAAACUGGGGCUAAUACCGGAUAGGAGCUCCUGCUGCAUGGUGGGGGUUGGAAAGUUUCGGCGGUUGGGGAUGGACUCGCGGCUUAUCAGCUUGUUGGUGGGGUAGUGGCUUACCAAGGCUUUGACGGGUAGCCGGCCUGAGAGGGUGACCGGCCACAUUGGGACUGAGAUACGGCCCAGACUCCUGCGGGAGGCAGCAGUGGGGAAUAUUGCACAAUGGGCGGAAGCCUGAUGCAGCAACGCCGCGUGCGGGAUGACGGCCUUCGGGUUGUAAACCGAUUUCGCCUGUGACGAAGCGUGAGUGACGGUAAUGGGUAAAGAAGCACCGGCUAACUACGU